rnacentral:rRNA from 1 species
GACGGGUGAGUAAUGCCUAUGAAAUUGCCUUCAUGUGGGGGAUAACCAUUGGAAACGAUGGCUAAUACCGCAUGAUGCCUACGGGCCAAAGAGGGGGACCUUCGGGCCUCUCGCGUCAAGAUAUGCCUAGGUGGGAUUAGCUAGUUGGUGAGGUAAUGGCUCACCAAAGGCGACGAUCCCUACUUGGUACUGAGAGGAUGAUCAGCCACACUGGGACUGAGACACGGUCCAGACUCCUACGGGAGGCAGCAGUGGGGAAUAUUGCACAAUGGGCGAAAGCCUGAUGCAGCCAUGCCGCGUGUAUGAAGAAGGCCUUCGGGUUGUAAAGUACUUUCAGUUGUGAGGAAGGGUGUGUAGUUAAUAGCUGCACAUCUUGACGUUAGCAACAGAAGAAGCACCGGCUAACUCCGUGCCAGCAGCCGCGGUAAUACGGAGGGUGCGAGCGUUAAUCGGAAUUACUGGGCGUAAAGCGCAUGCAGGUGGUUCAUUAAGUCAGAUGUGAAAGCCCGGGGCUCAACCUCGGAACUGCAUUUGAAACUGGUGAACUAGAGUGCUGUAGAGGGGGGUAGAAUUUCAGGUGUAGCGGUGAAAGGCGUCUAUAUCUGAAGGAAUACCAGUGGCGAAGGCGGCCCCCUGGACAGA